AUGAAAAAAAAAUGAACGUUUUUGAAUAUCAUAGAACAGUAUACAAUGUGAGAGCCGUGCGAGUUCCAUCGUCAAGUGUCAACUCAUUUGAAAUGUAUCAAAAUGAUUUUUAUGAUUAUUGACUAUCGUUUGGAUUCGCACGUAUUUUGUUGGUGAAAAUACUUAUAAAGAUUCGGAGAAGACAUCUGAAGAAUAUAAUUUAAAAGUUCUUGAGAAUAAAUUCAACUCUUUUUUGGAUUGCUUCAUUCCAGAACGUUUAAAUGAAAUAAAAGACAUUUUGU